rnacentral:misc_RNA from 1 species
GAUAAAAUAAAAUUUAAAAUUAAAUUAUUUUAAAUUAAAAAACAAUUAACGACCAUAACUAAUUUGUUAACAGAAUUGUUAACAGAAUUUGUUAACCUAUGAAUUUUUUUAUACAUUAGAGAUUUAAUUAUAAUUUACUCUUUUGAAAAAAUAAAAAUGGCCAAUAUAUGCAUGGUUUAUUACAGAUCUAAUAGUAGUUUUGGUGAUUAUUAGGGGAUUUGGUAUGUAAUGAUGUCAGGGACUGCGGUAC